rnacentral:sRNA from 1 species
CCUUCUUCCAGGAUAUAUCUAGGUUUAUGUCAAGUUGACAAAAGCCCAACCAGCACACUGGGUGAAAUCACCAACCUUCUGGAGCUUUUGCCCCGAGCUCAAGCACCUUCCUCUCAGAAAAGAGACUUCUUUUGGAGAUGAAAGAUAACUCAGUCAAGUUGGAGAGGAGGGGCAGGUGGAGCCCUGGAGUGCAUUGGCCAGCUAAUCUAGCUGAAAACCCUGUACUCGCCAGCCACAGGCAGACCAGAGCCUCUGGUUCGGAACGACAAGAGUCCCUAUUGACCUGGAGACUACCCACUGGGCUAAGCAAGGCUGGUCAGCAAGUGCCAGGAGUCUCCUUCUCUCCACAUCAGAGCCGGGAUUGCAGCCUGGCUCCCCACUGGAAAGGAAGUCCCCAGAAGAGACAGUGUCCCAUUUGUCUACUUCCCAGGGCCACAAGCGAGUGUGCAGCAAACAUGUGGACGACAUUGAUCUGGGAACUGUGGUCUGGGCCUGAGUCCCAGGACGCACUCAACACCUGCUGUCGUACCUUUUCUUUACAUGGGACCGUCUGCUUCACCCACUCUGAAAAGAGAACGAACCUUCUAAGGAUCUUUGUAGUGUGUGUAUGUGUGUGUGUGUGUGUGUGUGUGUGUGUGCCCGAGUGUAAAAAAGAUAAACCUGGAGCUGAUGCUAUAGAUGUUGUUAGAGUACUAAACCUUGAGUUCCAACCCCUGUACCAUGUAAACUAGGCACAGGAGUACAUGCCUGUAAUUUCAACGUCAUGGGGUUUUCGGGUAAGGGAGUAUGGAAAUAGGAGAGUCAGGUGAGCAUGUUGCGGGGGAGGGUAUGUCUGUACAGGUGCUUUUGCAUAUGUUUAUGCACAUGUGUAGAGGCCAGAGGUUAACAUCAAGUCUUUCUUGAUCACUCUCUCCCUUGUUUUAUAAACACAUUUUCAAAUAUUUUAUGU